UAGCUAGUUGGUGAGGUAAAGGCUUACCAAGGCGACGAUCUGUAGCGGGUCUGAGAGGAUGAUCCGCCACACUGGAACUGAGACACGGUCCAGACUCCUACGGGAGGCAGCAGUGGGGAAUUUUGGACAAUGGGGGCAACCCUGAUCCAGCCAUGCCGCGUGAGUGAAGAAGGCCUUCGGGUUGUAAAGCUCUUUCGGCCGGGAAGAAAUCGCAUGGGCCAAUACCCUGUGUGGAUGACGGUACCGGAAUAAGAAGCACCGGCUAACUACGUGCCAGCAGCCGCGGUAAUACGUAGGGUGCGAGCGUUAAUCGGAAUUACUGGGCGUAAAGCGUGCGCAGGCGGUUUUGUAAGACAGGCGUGAAAUCCCCGGGCUUAACCUGGGAACUGCGUUUGUGACUGCAAGGCUAGAGUACGGCAGAGGGGGGUGGAAUUCCACGUGUAGCAGUGAAAUGCGUAGAGAUGUUGAGGAACACCAAUGGCGAAGGCAGCCCCCUGGGUCGAUACUGACGCUCAUGCACGAAAGCGUGGGUAGCAAACAGGAUUAGAUACCCUGGUAGUCCACGCCCUAAACUAUGUCAACUAGGUGUUGGGUGGGUAAAACCAUUUAGUACCGUAGCUAACGCGUGAAGUUGACCGCCUGGGGAGUACGGCCGCAAGGUUAAAACUCAAAGGAAUUGACGGGGACCCGCACAAGCGGUGGAUGAUGUGGAUUAAUUCGAUGCAACGCGAAAAACCUUACCUACCCUUGACAUGCCAGGAACUUGCCAGAGAUGGCUUGGUGCCCGAAAGGGAGCCUGGACACAGGUGCUGCAUGGCUGUCGUCAGCUCGUGUCGUGAGAUGUUGGGUUAAGUCCCGCAACGAGCGCAACCCUUGUCGUUAAUUGCCAUCAUUUAGUUGGGCACUUUAACGAGACUGCCGGUGACAAACCGGAGGAAGGUGGGGAUGACGUCAAGUCCUCAUGGCCCUUAUGGGUAGGGCUUCACACGUCAUACAAUGGUCGGUACAAAGGGUUGCCAAGCCGCGAGGCGGAGCCAAUCCCAGAAAGCCGAUCGUAGUCCGGAUUGCAGGCUGCAACUCGCCUGCAUGAAGUCGGAAUCGCUAGUAAUCGUGGAUCAGCAUGUCACGGUGAAUACGUUCCCGGGUCUUGUACACACCGCCCGUCACACCAUGGGAGCGGGUUCCGCCAGAAGUAGGUAGCCUAACCGCAAGGGGGGCGCUUACCACGGCGGGGUUCGUGACUGGGGUGAAGUCGGAACAAGGUAGCCGUAGGGGAACCUGCGGCUG
rnacentral:rRNA from 1 species